UACGACUACAUAUCAGGCAUAUCAAUAAGCGGAGGAAAAGAAACUAACUAGGAUUCCCUCAGUAACGGCGAGUGAAGCGGGAAGAGCUCAAAUUUGAAAUCUUCAAGGUUCUACCUUUACGAAUUGUAGUUUAAAGAAGUGUUUUCUGUUAGAGGAGUAGGUAAAAGUUCUUUGGAAUAGGACAUCAUAGAGGGUGAGAAUCCCGUAUUUGACCGUAUUCUUUCUAGCUGUGUGAUACACUUUCAAAGAGUCGGAUCGUUUGGGAAUGCAGUCCAAGAUGGGUGGUAAAUUUCAUCUAAAGCUAAAUAUUGGCGAGAGACCGAUAGCGAACAAGUACCGUGAGGGAAAGAUGAAAAGAACUUUGAAAAGAGAGUUAAACAGUACGUGAAAUUGUCAAAAGGGAAGCGUUUGACACCAGUGUUGUUUCUACGAAAAUCAAUUUAUGAUGGCUUGAUGCUAAGCUUUAGGACUUUAUCCGCUUGUUGUUUAGUUUUCUUGUCUUUGUGAAUGCACUUUUCGUGGAACAAGUCAACAUCAAUUUCUUUUGCUGUAAAAGGGUAAGAGGAAGGUGGCUUCGGCUUCGGUUGAAGUGUUUAUAGCCUUUUAUCUCUGCAGUCGGAGAGAUUGAGGUCUGCAGCGUAGACUCUUCGGGGUUAGAUACGUCGGUGCUAAGCUAUAGCUUUUCAUAGACAACUUGUUGACUAUGUUUAGUCAUGUGGCUUACCCGCUGGCGCUAUUUUACCUACGCUUAGGAUGUUGACACACGCGCGUGCUCG
rnacentral:rRNA from 1 species